rnacentral:rRNA from 1 species
GCAUAUCAAUAAGCGGAGGAAAAGAAACCAACAGGGAUUGCCCUAGUAACGGCGAGUGAAGCGGCAACAGCUCAAAUUUGAAAUCUGGCUCUCGGGCCCGAGUUGUAAUUUGUAGAGGAUGCUUUUGAUGCGGUGCCUUCCGAGUUCCCUGGAACGGGACGCCAUAGAGGGUGAGAGCCCCGUCUGGUUGGAUGCCAAAUCUCUGUAAAGCUCCUUCGACGAGUCGAGUAGUUUGGGAAUGCUGCUCUAAAUGGGAGGUAUAUGUCUUCUAAAGCUAAAUACCGGCCAGAGACCGAUAGCGCACAAGUAGAGUGAUCGAAAGAUGAAAAGCACUUUGAAAAGAGAGUUAAAAAGUACGUGAAAUUGUUGAAAGGGAAGCGUUUAUGACCAGACUUGGGCUUGGUUAAUCAUCUGGGGUUCUCCCCAGUGCACUUUUCCAGUCCAGGCCAGCAUCAGUUUUCGCCGGGGGAUAAAGGCUUCGGGAAUGUGGCUCUCUCCGGGGAGUGUUAUAGCCCGUUGCGUAAUACCCUGGCGGGGACUGAGGUUCGCGCAUCUGCAAGGAUGCUGGCGUAAUGGUCAUCAACGACCCGUCUUGAAACACGGACCAAGGAGUCGUCUUCGUAUGCGAGUGUUCGGGUGUCAAACCCCUACGCGUAAUGAAAGUGAACGCAGGUGAGAGCUUCGGCGCAUCAUCGACCGAUCCUGAUGUUCUCGGAUGGAUUUGAGUAAGAGCAUACGGGGCCGGACCCGAAAGAAGGUGAACUAUGCCUGUGUAGGGUGAAGCCAGAGGAAACUCUGGUGGAGGCUCGCAGCGGUUCUGACGUGCAAAUCGAUCGUCAAACAUGGGCAUGGGGGCGAAAGACUAAUCGAACCUUCUAGUAGCUGGUUUCCGC